ACUCUGAUGCAGCGAUGCCGCGUGAGUGAAGAAGGCCUUUGGGUUGUAAAGCUCUUUUGUAGGGGAAGAUAAUGACUGUACCCUAAGAAUAAGGUCCGGCUAACUUCGUGCCAGCAGCCGCGGUAAUACGAAGGGACCUAGCGUAGUUCGGAAUUACUGGGCGUAAAGCGCGCGUAGGCCGUUGAGUUAGUUAAUUGUGAAAUCCCAAAGCUUAACUUUGGAACUGCAAUUAAAACUGCUCGACUAGAGUUUGAUAGAGGAAAGCGGAAUACAUAGUGUAGAGGUGAAAUUCGUAGAUAUUAUGUAGAACACCAGUUGCGAAGGCGGCUUUCUGGAUCAACACUGACGCUGAGGCGCGAAAGUAUGGGUAGCAAAGAGGAUUAGAUACCCUCGUAGUCCAUACCAUAAACGAUGAUUGCUAGAUGUUGGAAAUUUAUUUUCAGUAUCGCAGCUAACGCAUUAAGCAAUCCGCCUGGGGAGUACGACCGCAAGGUUAAAACUCAAAUGAAUUGACGG
rnacentral:rRNA from 1 species